UACGUAGGGGGCAAGCGUUGUCCGGAUUUAUUGGGCGUAAAGAGCUCGUAGGCGGUUUGGUAAGUCGGAUGUGAAAAUCUCCAGGCUCAACCCUGGAGGGGUCAUUCGAUACUGCCAUGACUAGAGUUCGGUAGGGGAGUGUGGAAUUCCUGGUGUAGCGGUGAAAUGCGCAGAUAUCAGGAGGAACACCAAUGGCGAAGGCAGCUCGCUGGAACGGUACUGACGCCUGAGGCGCGAAGCGUGGAGCGAACAGG
rnacentral:rRNA from 1 species